UAAGAGCAUGAUUAGUGGGGAGUACUCACAAAGUUACUCCACUAUUUGGGCCCCAAAAUAAUAUUAAACAAUCCAAAAAUGGGUCCAUUAUCGAAGAAUCGAUACCCUGGGAAGGAGUUUGAGCAACACUUGAAGAACGCUACGUGGCGACUUGUGAAUGGGUGUUUGUUAAAUAUAAAAGCGUUUUUUUUUUAUUUUUUACUCAUUUUCUUUUCUUUUCUUCCCCAAAGUCUCUCUCUCUUCUCUCUCGAGAACUCCGGCGAAAGAAAUGGCGAUUCAUAUGUAAUCGGGAAAAGAAGAAAGAGAGAAGAAUCGAGUUAUCAAUUGGAUUAAGCAGUCUGCCCAAGUGAUCUUCUUCAUUCUUAAGGGUUUCGUUCCUAUCCUUCUAGGGUUUGUUCUCUCUCUCUCUCAAUCCAAUUGCAUCGCUCUGUUAUUCUUUUUCUUAACGCGUCGCGUCUCUGAUUUUUUUGUUUUGUUUCUUCGUCGUCUCUUGUUGCAGGUUUUUUAAAGCAAGUUUAAUCUGAUUGUCGCUCACACGGCCUCUAGGUGCUUUUUGGAAGCAUGGCUUUCGUCUCUGAAAUCUCAACUUCUUCUAGGAUUGAUUGAUUGCGGAGGAUAACUGUAGUAUUGAUCGAUCGGCGAUUGAGGAGGAUACUAAGAUCUCUCCCUGAUGGUUUGAUUGAGGAGGAGGGCACUAAGAUCUUCUUGGGUUUUUAUUCAUUCUUGUCACUCUCUGUUUGAUUUUAACGACUUCUUUUCUUUUUUGGGGGGGUCUCACUCUCUCUCUCUUUGUUGCAGGUCUUCUUUUGGAAUUACUCCCGAACAGCAAGCUUUGUCAAAGGAUGGAUCACAACUAGCAGCAAUAUGAAGGGACAAGUAAGUUUGCAGCCAUGAGCUUAGACUUGCUUAUUAUAUAUAUGUCUUGUUAUUUUGUUUCUUAUCUCUUGUCUCUAGCUAACUUUUGGUAUGCAUGUUUUCUUUUCUUUUUUGUUGCAUCAGCCUCAAGGAUUUGUCUCUUGACUAGCAGAUAAAGGCAUCAAUGGAGAUGAUGACUUGCCAAAGCGCAAGACCUUUUGUGGUUUCUGGGACUAAGAUCUCUCGGUGAUGGUUGAGAAAGAGUGGAGUCUUCUCUUUGUUUGUUUUCCUAAUCUCUCCCAUAUUUACUCUCUUUUUUGAUAUAGUGAAAUAACUGUUGAUAUGGCUUUUUUAUUUUCCUCUUAGGAGUUGAAAAACCGACGACCAUCAUUGUGGCUUAUUUUCAGCUGAUUUGUGCACAGGCUCUUGGAUUGCCAUUAGAGCAGCCAAAGAGUGUAAACAUGGAGAGGUUGCAAAAGGUGAAACUUCGUGGGGCUCUUUAAGCUCCUCUCGAAACCACCAGAGGUUUGCUUUUUAUUAUGAGAUUAUUCUGUUGUUCUUGUUAAGAGUACAAUGUUUUUGUUUCUGUUUAUGUGAUUUAUAUUGACUAUUUUUACAUGUUUGUGCGAGGUCAAAUGGAGAUCAUUUGGAAUGAUUAUUCAUGAAGCGGACUGCAGCGUUUUGGAUUCUCUUAUUUGAAAAGGUAUGGUACGACAGCUUUCAUAUGUUGUUGAUAGUUAUUGUUUGCGAUUGUGUGUUGGGAUGAAUUAGUGUUAGAUUAGGUAAUAGUCAAGUCAGGACAUUGAUGAUUGCUUUUUUGUUUGUUGGAGUUCUUAAAUACGAAUAGUACUUGAUUAGAGAGAUACUUGUCGAGUAGGUUGUUUUAAUGUAAUAAAUUUGUGGUUGUUGUAGUUAAUUUACAACCAUAAAUUUGAAAACCCAAAACCACUUGAGCUCAAUAUAAACCCUCCAUGUUAGCACUAACAUAAACCAUUAACUUUUUCUAUACAAACCCUUUUCUUUUAACAUCAGCUUUCACUAAAACAACCAAUGGAUCCUAGAAGCCUUAUUCGUAAUCCACAUACAUAUUUUGUUGAUCUUAUGAAUUCUCAAAAAGACUCUAACUCCCAAGAUAAUCCAAUUCUUCCAAAUACAUUCUCUUCUCAGCCUGUCCACUUUACCCAAACCCUCUCUUCUCAGCCUGUCAACUU